UGCCUAACACAUGCAAGUCGAACGGGCUGUAGCAAUACAGUCAGUGGCGCACGGGUGAGUAACACGUGGAUAAUCUGCCUCGAUGAUGGGGAUAACCUGCCGAAAGGCGGGCUAAUACCCUAUAAGGCCACAGUCACUUUGGUGACAGGGGUUAAAGGUUGCCUCUAUUUAUAAGCAAUCGCAACGAGAUGAGUCCGCGUCCCAUCAGCUUGUUGGUAGGGUAAAAGCCUACCAAGGCUAUGACGGGUAGCUGAUCUGAGAGGAUGAUCAGCCACACUGGAACUGAGAUACGGUCCAGACUCCUACGGGAGGCAGCAGUGGGGAAUAUUGCGCAAUGGGGGAAACCCUGACGCAGCAACGCCGCGUGAGUGAUGAAGGCUUUCGGGUCGUAAAGCUC
rnacentral:rRNA from 1 species